UGGGGGAUAUUGCACAAUGGGCGCAAGCCUGAUGCAGCGACGCCGCGUGGGGGAUGAAGGCCUUCGGGUUGUAAACUUCUUUUGCUCUGAACAAGGCGCACUUUGGGGUGUGUUGAGUGUAGGGGUUGAUUAGCGCCGGCUAACUACGUGCCAGCAGCCGCGGUAAUACGUAGGGCGCGAGCGUUGUCCGGAAUUAUUGGGCGUAAAGGGCUUGUAGGUGGCUGGUUGCGUCUGUCGUGAAAGCUCAUGGCUUAACUGUGGGUUUGCGGGGGGUACGGGCUGGCUUGAGUGCAGUAGGGGAGGCUGGAAUUCCUGGUGUAGCGGUGGAAUGCGCAGAUAUCAGGAGGAAUACCGGUGGCGAAGGCGGGUCUCUGGGCUGUUACUGACACUGAGGAGCGAAAGCAUGGGGAGCGAACAGG
rnacentral:rRNA from 1 species